GAUGAACGCUGGCGGCGUGCCUAAUACAUGCAAGUCGAGCGAACGGACGAGAAGCUUGCUUCUCUGAUGUUAGCGGCGGACGGGUGAGUAACACGUGGAUAACCUACCUAUAAGACUGGGAUAACUUCGGGAAACCGGAGCUAAUACCGGAUAAUAUUUUGAACCGCAUGGUUCAAAAGUGAAAGACGGUCUUGCUGUCACUUAUAGAUGGAUCCGCGCUGCAUUAGCUAGUUGGUAAGGUAACGGCUUACCAAGGCAACGAUGCAUAGCCGACCUGAGAGGGUGAUCGGCCACACUGGAACUGAGACACGGUCCAGACUCCUACGGGAGGCAGCAGUAGGGAAUCUUCCGCAAUGGGCGAAAGCCUGACGGAGCAACGCCGCGUGAGUGAUGAAGGUCUUCGGAUCGUAAAACUCUGUUAUUAGGGAAGAACAUAUGUGUAAGUAACUGUGCACAUCUUGACGGUACCUAAUCAGAAAGCCACGGCUAACUACGUGCCAGCAGCCGCGGUAAUACGUAGGUGGCAAGCGUUAUCCGGAAUUAUUGGGCGUAAAGCGCGCGUAGGCGGUUUUUUAAGUCUGAUGUGAAAGCCCACGGCUCAACCGUGGAGGGUCAUUGGAAACUGGAAAACUUGAGUGCAGAAGAGGAAAGUGGAAUUCCAUGUGUAGCGGUGAAAUGCGCAGAGAUAUGGAGGAACACCAGUGGCGAAGGCGACUUUCUGGUCUGUAACUGACGCUGAUGUGCGAAAGCGUGGGGAUCAAACAGGAUUAGAUACCCUGGUAGUCCACGCCGUAAACGAUGAGUGCUAAGUGUUAGGGGGUUUCCGCCCCUUAGUGCUGCAGCUAACGCAUUAAGCACUCCGCCUGGGGAGUACGACCGCAAGGUUGAAACUCAAAGGAAUUGACGGGGACCCGCACAAGCGGUGGAGCAUGUGGUUUAAUUCGAAGCAACGCGAAGAACCUUACCAAAUCUUGACAUCCUUUGACAACUCUAGAGAUAGAGCUUUCCCCUUCGGGGGACAAAGUGACAGGUGGUGCAUGGUUGUCGUCAGCUCGUGUCGUGAGAUGUUGGGUUAAGUCCCGCAACGAGCGCAACCCUUAAGCUUAGUUGCCAUCAUUAAGUUGGGCACUCUAAGUUGACUGCCGGUGACAAACCGGAGGGAGGUGGGGAUGACGUCAAAUCAUCAUGCCCCUUAUGAUUUGGGCUACACACGUGCUACAAUGGACAAUACAAAGGGCAGCGAAGCCGCGAGGUCAAGCAAAUCCCAUAAAGUUGUUCUCAGUUCGGAUUGUAGUCUGCAACUCGACUACAUGAAGCUGGAAUCGCUAGUAAUCGUAGAUCAGCAUGCUACGGUGAAUACGUUCCCGGGUCU
rnacentral:rRNA from 1 species